UCGAGCAUGAGCCGGUGCUUGGCCCUUCUCGAGUAUGCUCGUGCCAUCUGCUGUCCUUUUCGAAGAUAUUGCAUGUGCAUGAACAUUUCUGGAGAAGGGCCUCGCUGAGAUCACACGGCUCGAACUUGAACCAGAUAAUGCUGGCGAUAAAGAAUCAUGCUCUUCCCCUAC
rnacentral:ncRNA from 1 species